rnacentral:rRNA from 1 species
GAUGAACGCUGGCGGCGUGCCUAAUACAUGCAAGUCGAGCGAACAGACGAGGAGCUUGCUCCUCUGAUGUUAGCGGCGGACGGGUGAGUAACACGUGGAUAACCUACCUAUAAGACUGGGAUAACUUCGGGAAACCGGAGCUAAUACCGGAUAACAUGUUGAACCGCAUGGUUCAACAGUGAAAGACGGUUUUGCUGUCACUUAUAGAUGGAUCCGCGUCGCAUUAGCUAGUUGGUAAGGUAACGGCUUACCAAGGCAACGAUGCAUAGCCGACCUGAGAGGGUGAUCGGCCACACUGGAACUGAGACACGGUCCAGACUCCUACGGGAGGCAGCAGUAGGGAAUCUUCCGCAAUGGGCGAAAGCCUGACGGAGCAACGCCGCGUGAGUGAAGAAGGUCUUCGGAUCGUAAAACUCUGUUAUUAGGGAAGAACAAAUGUGUAAGUAACUAUGCACGUCUUGACGGUACCUAAUCAGAAAGCCACGGCUAACUACGUG